rnacentral:rRNA from 1 species
UCGAACGGAACUGUUUUGAAAGAUUUCUUCGGAAUGAAUUUGAUUUAGUUUCGUUGCGGACGGGUGAGUAACGCGUGAGUAACCUGCCUUCAAGAGGGGGAUAACAUUCUGAAAAGAAUGCUAAUACCGCAUGACAUAUCGGAAUCACAUGGUUUUGAUAUCAAAGAUUUUAUCGCUUGAAGAUGGACUCGCGUCCGAUUAGUUAGUUGGUGAGGUAACGGCUCACCAAGACCGCGAUCGGUAGCCGGACUGAGAGGUUGAACGGCCACAUUGGGACUGAGACACGGCCCAGACUCCCACGGGAGGCAGCAGUGGGGGAUAUUGCGCAAUGGGGGCAACCCUGACGCAGCAACGCCGCGUGAAGGAUGAAGGUUUUCGGAUUGUAAACUUCUUUUAUUAAGGACGAAACUUGACGGUACUUAAUGAAUAAGCUCCGGCUAACUACGUGCCAGCAGCCGCGGUAAUACGUAGGGAGCAAGCGUUGUCCGGAUUUACUGGGUGUAAAGGGUGCGUAGGCGGCUUUGCAAGUCAGAUGUGAAAUCUAUGGGCUCAACCCAUAAACUGCAUUUGAAACUGUAGAGCUUGAGUGAAGUAGAGGCAGGCGGAAUUCCCCGUGUAGCGGUGAAAUGCGUAGAGAUGGGGAGGAACACCAGUGGCGAAGGCGGCCUGCUGGGCU